CCACAAAUACAAAGUUCCUCUGUCCACUUGGACAGAGUCUCCUUUGUAUUUGCACGGCGUACCAGCUAUACAACAGGAUCUCAACCACAACCUACAUUUACCAAUCAACAACCAAAGCAUGAUAUGCAUUUUCAUACAGUUAACAAUCCUUAGAAUGAUGCAUGCCUCUAAGCACUCCUUAGGCGCUGGAUGAUGCAAUGCACAAUACAACAAACAUCCUAUUUAAAAGUGCUCCCCACACGGAAGCUUUUGUUUUUAAACUCUAAUUCAUUCAUUCAUAAAAACCAUUCGAAAACCUUUUUAAAACUGUUUCCCACACGGAAACUCUAUUUUGAAAACCGACUACCUCGAGGGGUAGAAAACCACGAUGCAUAACUACAAGAAAACCAAAUCUCCACAGAACCAAAACCACAGAUCGAAAACUCCAAUCUCAUGUAUAAAAGAAACCAACACCACAAUUCACAUACAUUCAAGCAUACAUAAGAUCAGCUAACUGAACCAUUAUUAAGAAAACUACUAAGUGCGGAAAAGAGAUAACCAGGGUGACGGUCACUACUGCCGUCUAGCUA
rnacentral:lncRNA from 1 species